AACAGCCCAGACCGCCAGUUAAGGUCCCAAAAUGUAUGCUAAGUGGAAAAGGAUGUGGGGAUGCACAGACAACUAGGAGGUUGGCUCAGAAGCAGCCAUCCUUGAAAGAGUGCGUAACAGCUCACUAGUCGAGUGACCCUGCGCCGAAAAUGUACCGGGGCUAAGCAUACUACCGAAGCUGCGGAUUCAACUUCAGAGUUGAGUGGUAGGGGAGCGUUGCAUGCACGUAGAAGCCAUACCGUAAGGAGUGGUGGAGAGCAUGGAAGAGAGAAUGCCGGUGUGAGUAGCGAGAUGUAGGUGAGAAUCCUACACACCGAUAGCCCAAGGAUUCCAGGGGAAGGUUCGUCCGCCCUGGGUAAGUCGGGACCUAACGCGAGGCCGAAAGGCGUAGUGGAUGGAAAACAGGCAGAUAUUCCUGUACCCGCGAUGGAAAUGAAGGAAUGACGGAGAAGGCUAGUGUGAGCCACUAAAUGGAUUGUGGUCGAAGCAUAUAGCAGGCUGACAGUGAAAUGCGUCAGCGGGAUGUAAGAUGUGACAGGUAAGGGAACGCCUUCGGGCAAGUACUGAAGCACAUGAUGCCAGCUUCCAAGAAAAGUUUCUAGUGAUAAUUCCAUAGCGGCCCGUACCAAAACCGACACAGGUGGGCAAGGAGAGAAUCCUGAGGUGAGCGAGAGAACUGUUGCCAAGGAACUCGGCAAAAAUACUCCGUAAGUUCGCGAGAAGGAGUGCUCUUGAGAGAGAGCCGCAGCGAAGAGGCCCAAGCGACUGUUUAACUAAAACACAGCUCUCUGCAAAGUCGCAAGACGAAGUAUAGGGGGUGACGCCUGCCCGGUGCUGGAAGGUUAAGAGGAUUUGUCAUCCGAAAGGAGAAGCAAUGAAUUGAAGCCCCAGUGAACGGCGGCCGUAACUAUAACGGUCCUAAGGUAGCGAAAUUCCUUGUCAGGUAAGUUCUGACCCGCACGAAAGGCGUAACGAUUUGGGCGCUGUCUCAGCUGUAGACUCGGUGAAGUCUUAGUACCUGUGAAGAUGCAGGUUACCCGCGACUAGACGGAAAGACCCCAUGGAGCUUCACUGCAGGUUGAUAUUGGGAUUUGAUGCAGCAUGUACAGGAUAGGUAGGAGGCAAAGAGAUGGAUACGCCAGUAUUCAAGGAGCCGCUGUUGGGAUACUACCCCUGUUGUAUUGGAUUUCUAACCGGACGACGUAGAACCGUUGACGGGACAGUGUCAGUCGGGCAGUUUGACUGGGGCGGUCGCCUCCCAAAGAGUAACGGAGGCGCCCAAAGAUACCCUCAGCUUGGAUGGAAACCAAGCGCAGAGUGCAAAGGCAAAAGGGUGUUUGACUGCGAGACCCACAAGUCGAGCAGGGACGAAAGUCGGGCUUAGUGAUCCGGCGGUGCUGAAUGGAAAGGCCGUCGCUCAACGGAUAAAAGCUACCCUGGGGAUAACAGGCUGAUCUCCCCCAA
rnacentral:rRNA from 1 species